rnacentral:tRNA from 1 species
GGCUCUGUGGCGGAGGGGUGAUCACGUCUGCUUUACACGCAGAAGGGCCUGGGUUCAAGCCCCAGCAGAGCCA